GACGAACGCUGGCGGCGUGCUUAACACAUGCAAGUCGUGCGAGAAAAUUCCCUUCGGGGGAGUGAGUACAGCGGCGCACGGGUGAGUAACGCGUAAGUUAUCUGCCCCUUCGGUCUGGCAUAACUCCGGGAAACCGGGGCGUAAUAGCAGAUUAUAUCGUAAGAUCAAAGCCUUCGGGCGGCCAAGGGAGUGAGCUUGCGUCCCACUUAGCUAGUUGGCGGGGGUAAGUGGCCCACCCAAGGCUACGAUGGGUAGCUGGUCUGAGAGGAUGAUCAGCCACAUUGGGACUGAGAUACGGCCCAGACUCCUACGGGAGGCAGCAGUGGGGAAUCUUGCGCAAUGGGCGAAAGCCUGACGCAGCGACGCCGCGUGAGGGAUGACGGCCUGGUGUAACU
rnacentral:rRNA from 1 species